rnacentral:rRNA from 1 species
UACAGAGGUCCCAAGCGUUGUUCGGAUUCACUGGGCGUAAAGGGUGCGUAGGUGGCGGGGUAAGAUUGAUGUGAAAUCUCCGGGCUUAACCCGGAAACGGCAUUGAAUACUAUCCUGCUGGAGGGUUGGAAGGGAGACUGGAAUUCUCGGUGUAGCAGUGAAAUGCGUAGAUAUCGAGAGGAACACCAGUGGCGAAGGCGAGUCUCUGGACAACGCCUGACACUGAGGCACGAAAGCUAGGGGAG